rnacentral:lncRNA from 1 species
GGGCUCAGAUUAGAAGAUAACCUAUCAUAUGAAGCCAAAUGUCAACACGACUUAAAAAUCAAGAGAUGAGAAGCAAUGCUUCAAGAUCCAAUGGCCAUCAAGGAAGGAACCAUCAUCUAAACCCUAAUUAAGAAGAGAGAAAGUGUGCUGCCUCCUUUCAUAUCAGCCCCCUUGUAGGGAUUAUCUCCCUCUCCUUCCCAUAGC